AGUGAACGCUGGCGGUAGGCCUAACACAUGCAAGUCGAACGGCAGCACAGUAAGAGCUUGCUCUUACGGGUGGCGAGUGGCGGACGGGUGAGGAAUACAUCGGAAUCUACUUUUUCGUGGGGGAUAACGUAGGGAAACUUACGCUAAUACCGCAUACGACCUACGGGUGAAAGCAGGGGAUCUUCGGACCUUGCGCGAUUGAAUGAGCCGAUGUGGGAUUAGCUAGUUGGCGGGGUAAAGGCCCACCAAGGCGACGAUCCGUAGCUGGUCUGAGAGGAUGAUCAGCCACACUGGAGCUGAGACACGGUCCAGACUCCUACGGGAGGCAGCAGUGGGGAAUAUUAGACAAUGGGCGCAAGCCUGAUCCAGCCAUACCGCGUGGGUGAAGAAGGCCUUCGGGUUGUAAAGCCCUUUUGUUGGGAAAGAAAAGCAGCAGGUUAAUACCCCGCUGUUCUGACGGUACCCAAAGAAUAAGCACCGGCUAACUUCGUG
rnacentral:rRNA from 1 species